CAGGCAGCAGUGGAAAUUAGAGUCUUCUGUUUAACCACAGAACAAGAACAGCACAGGGAGUUGUAACACCAUAAGGCUCCUGUUACUGUCCUGCAAACAUGCCUCAGCCCUGGCCUGGAGCCACCAACGGUAGGGAUGAAAUGGCAAUUCAGUCUCCAUGCUUCUACAGGGUAUGGUCCUU
rnacentral:sRNA from 1 species